AACCGGAUUAGAUACCCUGGUAGUCCACGCCCUAAACGAUGUCUACUAGUUGUCGGGUCUUAAUUGACUUGGUAACGCAGCUAACGCGUGAGGUAGACCGCCUGGGGAGUACGGUCGCAAGAUUAAAACUCAAAGGAAUUGACGGGGACCCGCACAAGCGGUGGAUGACGUGGAUUAAUUCGAUGCAACGCGAAAAACCUUACCUACCCUUGACAUGUACAGAAUCCCGAAGAGAUUUGGGAGUGUUCGAAAGAAAACUGUAACACAGGUGCUGCAUGGCUGUCGUCAGCUCGUGUCGUGAGAUGUUGGGUUAAGUCCCGCAACGAGCGCAACCCUUGUCAUUAGUUGCUACGAAAGGGCACUCUAAUGAGACUGCCGGUGACAAACCGGAGGAAGGUGGGGAUGACGUCAAGUCCUCAUGGCCCUUAUGGGUAGGGCUUCACACGUCAUACAAUGGUACAUACAGAGGGCCGCCAACCCGCGAGGGGGAGCUAAUCCCAGAAAGUGUAUCGUAGUCCGGAUUGUAGUCUGCAACUCGACUACAUGAAGUUGGAAUCGCUAGUAAUCGCGGAUCAGCAUGUCGCGGUGAAUACGUUCCCGGGUCUUGUACACACCGCCCGUCACACCAUGGGAGCGGGUUUUACCAGAAGUAGGUAGCCUAACCGUAAGGAGGGCGCUUACCACGGUAGGAUUCGUGACUGGGGUGAAGUCGUAACAAGGUAACCGUA
rnacentral:rRNA from 1 species